UACGAAGGGGGCUAGCGUUGCUCGGAAUCACUGGGCGUAAAGCGCACGUAGGCGGACUCUUAAGUCGGGGGUGAAAUCCUGGAGCUCAACUCCAGAACUGCCUUCGAUACUGAGAGUCUUCGAGUUCGGGAGAGGUGAGUGGAACUGCGAGUGUAGAGGUGAAAUUCGUAGAUAUUCGGAAGAACACCAGUGGCGAAGGCGGCUCACUGGCCCGGUACUGACGCUGAGGUGCGAAAGCGUGGGGAGCAAACAGG
rnacentral:rRNA from 1 species